CUGAACUAGCGUGAAGUGAGUGAACAAUCAACAAGUUGGAUAGCGCGCGAGGCGGGCCGUUGCGCUCGGAGCAUGCGCUAUCCGCGCCUAUGUUCAUACUCGACGAGCACAAACAAUGUUGACAGUGGCGCCGCCUGGCGUCGCUCGGGCCCGCUCGGUUGCCGGCCGGCAACUUCCAACUGGUUAUUUUCGCGCAAAAACGAGAAGACAGAAUCUCUCCGCGACCUAAACCUGUUCCGAGUCCACGCCUAGUCAAUCCAGUUGCUGCUCAUCGGCUGCGCUUGUGUAUUAUCUUGAUACUGAAACAAUGGAUGAAUGCUCUAAUUAUUUAGUGUUGAUUUUAAUGAAGUAUGUGUUACGAAAAUAGUAAGUAAUUAAAUCAUUGUGUUGAAA